rnacentral:rRNA from 1 species
GAUGAACGCUGGCGGCGUGCCUAAUACAUGCAAGUCGAGCGAACAGACGAGGAGCUUGCUCCUUUGACGUUAGCGGCGGACGGGUGAGUAACACGUAGGUAACCUACCUAUAAGACUGGGAUAACUUCGGGAAACCGGAGCUAAUACCGGAUAAUAUUUCGAACCGCAUGGUUCGAUAGUGAAAGAUGGCUUUGCUUUCACUUUUAGUUGGACCUGCGCCGUAUUAGCUAGUUGGUAAGGUAACGGCUUACCAAGGCAACGAUACGUAGCCGACCUGAGAGGGUGAUCGGCCACACUGGAACUGAGACACGGUCCAGACUCCUACGGGAGGCAGCAGUAGGGAAUCUUCCGCAAUGGGCGAAAGCCUGACGGAGCAACGCCGCGUGAGUGAUGAAGGUCUUCGGAUCGUAAAACUCUGUUAUUAGGGAAGAACAAACGUGUAAGUAACUGUGCACGUCUUGACGGUACCUAAUCAGAAAGCCACGGCUAACUACGUG